UGAAGAUUCACCUUGGAGCUAGAACAGGGACGUGCACAUGAUUAUACAGGGGCAGGGGCUCAAGUUUUUUCCAGUCAUUUAUACAAUAUGGAAAUUAAUGUGAAAUUAAACCACAAAUAUGUGUGAUGAACUGUUUUUAAAACUUAAACUUCAAAUAAAAAUUGUAAACUUCAAAACAUAUGCAAAUUUUUAACAAAGAACAUAGUAAUUUACCUCUAUUUACAUCAAAAUGCAGGCAAUGGCCCAGGCGUUCUUUGUAAAAUUAUUUACAAAACACUGUAUAGUCUCACAAAUGUCACUUUUUAUUUAUGCCACUACAAAAAAACAUGAUGUAAAUGAUGCAUGAUGUAAAACAUGAUGUAAAAAACUUGUGUAGAUCCUCCUCUAUGUCAGUCCAUGUGUAAUUUUUCCAUAAUUCUUUGUUUUUUGCAGCAUUUUUGUUAGUGUAACUGCAGAUUGUGCUGACAGUGUCUAUGGCACAAAAAAAAAAAAAAUUAAAAUGCCUCAACAUGAACCCCUGGUGGUCUCUGAGGGUGAAACCUGCUAACUGCUGCAGCUCUGUCAGCUUCAGUCUCCCAUGCAGAGCUCUGAGCGCAUGUGUGGCUCUGCACCCUUAGCAGCGUUGCUAACUCCUCAGUAAGGAAAGCCUGCUUCAUGUCAGAGUCUCUAAACUCCAGAAGAAGUCGAUAAAAGUCCCUUUCUUUCUAACAAAAAGUCGUUAGGGGGUCUGAAAAGUCAUUGAAUCUAACAACAAAGUCGCUAGGUUUGCAACUACGUGUCCCAGACUGCAUCCCUGCUGAGAGUCCCUCCCUCGCUUCUCAUGUUGCAGGAAGAACGUAAGCGCCCGCCCCUUGUCAAUCAGUCACCAUAUAAUUUUGGAUUGGUUGUUGUGGUGAAGUUUUCCACCAAUAGGAGAGAUGUUGUGGUGUGUUUUUUUUUUCUUUUGGCAAGCCUUUUCCGCCUGUAAGACCUGUCGCUAAUGUCUGCAUGCUAUGUUUUCCUGUCUCAUACAGCGCGAUCGAGCGCCGAACGUGAUCAAAAUAAGCAGAAAAAAAGUAUCGCGGACAUAAUUUAUCAUAACUCUGGUUUUAUUUGGCCUAUCAACACAAUUUAAAAACUGGUAUAUAGGUUGAGGUCCUCACUUUUGAGAUAAGUUGAAACGGAGAGUCAACGAGGCUCCGUCUUGCAGCUACAUCCGGUUAAAUAUGUCAUGUGACUUGAACGCACACGCAGACACACACACGCACACACACACACACACACACACACACACUCAGAGUCUGGUUUUUAGCACCUGCAAAAACAUGCUAUUUACAUAUUUGACAAGAAUGCAGAGGCUCCUUUUGCCCCUGAAAAAAAUCAAAUUUCAAACACAACUUGACUGGUAAUUUCUCCAAAAGACAACCAUGAAGCUCCAUUUCAAACCUGAAGCAGAUAGUUGGUGCAUGUGUACAGUAACCUGAGGGGAGUGAGGUGACUAUUUCUGAGGAGAACAUGAGCAGUGAAGAUUCACCUUGGAGCUAGAACAGGGACGUGCACAUGAUUAUACAGGGGCAGGGGCUCAAGUUUUUUCCAGUCAUUUAUACAAUAUGGAAAUUAAUGUGAAAUUAAACCACAAAUAUGUGUGAUGAACUGUUUUUAAAACUUAAACUUCAAAUAAAAAUUGUAAACUUCAAAACAUAUGCAAAUUUUUAACAAAGAACAUAGUAAUUUACCUCUAUUUACAUCAAAAUGCAGGCAAUGGCCCAGGCGUUCUUUGUAAAAUUAUUUACAAAACACUGUAUAGUCUCACAAAUCUCACUUUUUAUUUAUGCCACUACAAAAAAACAUGAUGUAAAUGAUGCAUGAUGUAAAACAUGAUGUAAAAAACUUGUGUAGAUCCUCCUCUAUGUCAGUCCAUGUGUAAUUUUUCCAUAAUUCUUUGUUUUUUGCAGCAUUUUUGUUAGUGUAACUGCAGAUUGUGCUGACAGUGUCUAUGGCACAAAAAAAAAAAAAAAUUAAAAUGCCUCAACAUGAACCCCUGGUGGUCUCUGAGGGUGAAACCUGCUAACUGCUGCAGCUCUGUCAGCUUCAGUCUCCCAUGCAGAGCUCUGAGCGCAUGUGUGGCUCUGCACCCUUAGCAGCGUUGCUAACUCCUCAGUAAGGAAAGCCUGCUUCAUGUCAGAGUCUCUAAACUCCAGAAGAAGUCGAUAAAAGUCCCUUUCUUUCUAACAAAAAGUCGUUAGGGGGUCUGAAAAGUCAUUGAAUCUAACAACAAAGUCGCUAGGUUUGCAACUACGUGUCCCAGACUGCAUCCCUGCUGAGAGUCCCUCCCUCCCUUCUCAUGUUGCAGGAAGAACGUAAGCUCCCGCCCCUUGUCAAUCAGUCACCAUAUAAUUUUGGAUUGGUUGUUGUGGUGAAGUUUUCCACCAAUAGGAGAGAUGUUGUGGUGUGUUUUUUUUUUCUUUUGGCAAGCCUUUUCCGCCUGUAAGACCUGUCGCUAAUGUCUGCAUGCUAUGUUUUCCUGUCUCAUACAGCGCGAUCGAGCGCCGAACGUGAUCAAAAUAAGCAGAAAAAAAGUAUCGCGGACAUAAUUUAUCAUAACUCUGGUUUUAUUUGGCCUAUCAACACAAUUUAAAAACUGGUAUAUAGGUUGAGGUCCUCACUUUUGAGAUAAGUUGAAACGGAGAGUCAACGAGGCUCCGUCUUGCAGCUACAUCCGGUUAAAUAUGUCAUGUGACUUGAACGCACACGCAGACACACACACGCACACACACACACACACACACACACACACUCAGAGUCUGGUUUUUAGCACCUGCAAAAACAUGCUAUUUACAUAUCUGACAAGAAUGCAGAGGCUCCUUUUGCCCCUGAAAAAAAUCAAAUUUCAAACACAACUUGACUGGUAAUUUCUCCAAAAGACAACCAUGAAGCUCCAUCCAAACCUGAAGCAGGCAGUUGGUGCAUGUGUACAGUAACCUGAGGGGAGUGAGGUGAGUGCUUCUGAGGAGAACAUGAGCAGUGAAGAUUCACCUUGGAGCUAGAACAGAGACAUGCACAUGAUUAUACAGGGGCAGGGGCUCAAGUUUUUUCCAGUCGUUUAUACAAUAUGGAAAUUGAUGUGAAAUUAAAACACAAAGUAUUAAUAGAAAGGUAAUGACUGUCCUGUGUAGGUGACAGUGAUAUCCAAUAGGCUAGGCACUCACGAGGCUGGCUGUGGCAAGUGUAAGUGAAAGCAACACGCACUGGCAGGAAGAACAGCAAACGCCGAUGAAGGAAAAGGGUCUUUGCAGUGAUGGGCGUUAACAGAGAGGGCGAUGGCCAGAGGACACAAAUGGGACGGGGAGGCAGCAUGUUGGGGGGGGGGAUACGCGACACGGCUCGGGCCCGCCAGUGCCCCAACGGGGUCCUAGUUAUUAUUUUUCCUCCCCUUUGAACUGGAAAAUGGCCCACUUCCCACUGGCGAAAACUCAUGAAAUUUGGCAGGACGACCGGGCCUGGUGAAAAAUUUGAUAUUCUGAAGUCGCCCAAACAAUACAAUGCAAAAUGGCUCCAUAGCGCCCCCUAAGGUGAAAAAUUCACCUGACGCCUGUACGCUUUGUCAAAAUGACACAAAAAUUGACACACACAUGUAUCUCAAUAAGAUCUACAAAAAAGUCAGUGCGGGCGUAUCUGUCAAAUGUACGGUUAAAGGGUUAUUUCGCAUUUUUUGCCGAUCCGCACACAUUGGAAUUUCGCUAACUCCUCCGAAGGCUUUCGUUCCACCGGCACCACAUUUGCUCAGGCCAAUCUACACCCCAUGGCCAUUAAAAGUUAUUCAAAUCAUGACGCUGCACCCCACGGUUUAUGUUCUAGGGGGCGCCAAAGAUAACCCUAAAAUCCACAUAUUUCAAAGUCUUAUAACUUUUUAUUUUUGUCCUCACUGGCCUCCAAGUUUUCUAGGAUGAUGCAAUGUCCAGCCAUCAACACAUUUGUGAAGGAAUUUUUACUCCCCAAAAGAGCGCCCCCCCAUGGCAGGAGAAAAAAGUCCAUUUUUUCUUGUUCCAUAAGGUGAAAAUUCACACUAUUGACUGUCACGCCUGUACGCUUUGUCAAAAUUACACAAAAAUUGACACACACAUGUAUCUCAAUAAGAUCUACAAAAAAGUCAGUGCGGGCGUAUCUGUCAAAUGUACGGUUAAAGGGUUAUUGCGCAUUUUUUGCCGAUCCGCACACAUUGGAAUUUCGCUAACUCCUCCGAAGGCUUUCGUUCCACCGGCACCACAUUUGCUCAGGCCAAUCUACACCCCAUGGCCAUUAAAAGUUAUUCAAAUCAUGACGCUGCACCCCACGGUUUAGGUUCUAGGGGGCGCCAAAGAUAACCCUAAAAUCCACAUAUUUAAAAGUCUUAUAACUUUUUAUUUUUGUCCUCUCUGGCCUCCAAGUUUUCUAGGAUGAUGCAAUGUCCAGCCAUCAACACAUUUGUGAAGGAAUUUUUACUCCCUAAAAGAGCGCCCCCCCAUGGCAGGAGAAAAAAGUCCAUUUUUUCUUGUCCCAUAAGGUGAAAAUACACAUUGUUGACUGUCAUACCUGUAUGCUUUGUCAUAUUGACACAAAAUUUGACACACACAUGUAUCUCAAUAAGAUCUACGAAAAAGUCAAUGCGCGCGUAUCUGUAAAAUGUACGGUUAAAGGGCUAUUUUGCAUUUUUUGCUGAUUAGCACACAUUGGAAUGUGGCUAACUCCUCCUAAGGCUUUCGUCCCACUGACACCAAAUUUGCUCAGGCCAAUCUACACCCCAUGGCCAUUCAAAGUUUUAAAAAUCAUGACGCUGCACCCCACGGUUUACGUUCUAGGGGGCGCCAAAGAUGACCCAAAUAUCCACAUUCUUAAAAGAAUCCACAUCCCUUUCCCCCCCUCCCAUCCCCCAUCCCCCAUGGCAGGAGAAACAGUCAAGUUUUUCCUGCCCAUCACUCAAUGGCUCAAUCGCAUCGCUCUCCCGGCAACACCGUAAC